rnacentral:rRNA from 1 species
AGAGUUUGAUCAUGGCUCAGAUUGAACGCUGGCGGCAGGCCUAACACAUGCAAGUCGAACGGUAACAGGAAGCAGCUUGCUGUUUUGCUGACGAGUGGCGGACGGGUGAGUAAUGUCUGGGAAACUGCCUGAUGGAGGGGGAUAACUACUGGAAACGGUAGCUAAUACCGCAUAACGUCGCAAGACCAAAGAGGGGGACCUUAGGGCCUCUUGCCAUCGGAUGUGCCCAGAUGGGAUUAGCUAGUAGGUGGGGUAACGGCUCACCUAGGCGACGAUCCCUAGCUGGUCUGAGAGGAUGACCAGCCACACUGGAACUGAGACACGGUCCAGACUCCUACGGGAGGCAGCAGUGGGGAAUAUUGCACAAUGGGCGCAAGCCUGAUGCAGCCAUGCCGCGUGUAUGAAGAAGGCCUUCGGGUUGUAAAGUACUUUCAGCGGGGAGGAAGGGAGUAAAGUUAAUACCUUUGCUCAUUGACGUUACCCGCAGAAGAAGCACCGGCUAACUCCGUGCCAGCAGCCGCGGUAAUACGGAGGGUGCAAGCGUUAAUCGGAAUUACUGGGCGUAAAGCGCACGCAGGCGGUUUGUUAAGUCAGAUGUGAAAUCCCCGGGCUCAACCUGGGAACUGCAUCUGAUACUGGCAAGCUUGAGUCUCGUAGAGGGGGGUAGAAUUCCAGGUGUAGCGGUGAAAUGCGUAGAGAUCUGGAGGAAUACCGGUGGCGAAGGCGGCCCCCUGGACGAAGACUGACGCUCAGGUGCGAAAGCGUGGGGAGCAAACAGGAUUAGAUACCCUGGUAGUCCACGCCGUAAACGAUGUCGACUUGGAGGUUGUGCCCUUGAGGCGUGGCUUCCGGAGCUAACGCGUUAAGUCGACCGCCUGGGGAGUACGGCCGCAAGGUUAAAACUCAAAUGAAUUGACGGGGGCCCGCACAAGCGGUGGAGCAUGUGGUUUAAUUCGAUGCAACGCGAAGAACCUUACCUGGUCUUGACAUCCACGGAAGUUUUCAGAGAUGAGAAUGUGCCUUCGGGAACCGUGAGACAGGUGCUGCAUGGCUGUCGUCAGCUCGUGUUGUGAAAUGUUGGGUUAAGUCCUGCAACGAGCGCAACCCUUAUCCUUUGUUGCCAGCGGUCCGGCCGGGAACUCAAAGGAGACUGCCAGUGAUAAACUGGAGGAAGGUGGGGAUGACGUCAAGUCAUCAUGGCCCUUACGACCAGGGCUACACACGUGCUACAAUGGCGCAUACAAAGAGAAGCGACCUCGCGAGAGCAAGCGGACCUCAUAAAGUGCGUCGUAGUCCGGAUUGGAGUCUGCAACUCGACUCCAUGAAGUCGGAAUCGCUAGUAAUCGUGGAUCAGAAUGCCACGGUGAAUACGUUCCCGGGCCUUGUACACACCGCCCGUCACACCAUGGGAGUGGGUUGCAAAAGAAGUAGGUAGCUUAACCUUCGGGAGGGCGCUUACCACUUUGUGAUUCAUGACUGGGGUGAAGUCGUAACAAGGUAACCGUAGGGGAACCUGCGGUUGGAUCACCU